GAUGAACGCUGGCGGCGUGCCUAAUACAUGCAAGUCGAGCGAACGGACGAGAAGCUUGCUUCUCUGAUGUUAGCGGCGGACGGGUGAGUAACAUGUGGAUAACCUACCUAUAAGACUGGGAUAACUUCGGGAAACCGGAGCUAAUACCGGAUAAUAUUUUGAACCGCAUGGUUCAAAAGUGAAAGACGGUCUUGCUGUCACUUAUAGAUGGAUCCGCGCUGCAUUAGCUAGUUGGUAAGGUAACGGCUUACCAAGGCAACGAUGCAUAGCCGACCUGAGAGGGUGAUCGGCCACACUGGAACUGAGACACGGUUCAGACUCCUACGGGAGGCAGCAGUAGGGAAUCUUCCGCAAUGGGCGAAAGCCUGACGGAGCAACGCCGCGUGAGUGAUGAAGGUCUUCGGAUCGUAAAACUCUGUUAUUAGGGAAGAACAUAUGUGUAAGUAACUGUGCACAUCUUGACGGUACCUAAUCAGAAAGCCACGGCUAACUACGUG
rnacentral:rRNA from 1 species